ACUCCUACGGGAGGCAGCAGUGGGGAAUAUUGCACAAUGGGCGCAAGCCUGAUGCAGCAACGCCGCGUGAGCGAUGAAGGCCUUCGGUCGUAAAGCUCUGUCCUCAAGGAAGAAUAAAUGACGGUACUUGAGGAGGAAGCCCCGGCUAACUACGUGCCAGCAGCCGCGGUAAUACGUAGGGGGCAAGCGUUAUCCGGAAUCACUGGGGCGUAAAGGGGUGCGUAGGCGGUUUUCAAGUCAGAAGUGAAAGGCUAUGGCUCAACCAUAGUAAGCUUUUGAAACUGUUAAACUUGAGUGCAGGAGAGGAAAGUGGAAUUCCUAGUGUAGAGGUGAAAUUCGUAGAUAUUAGGAGGAACACCAGUGGCGAAGGCGACUUUCUGGACUGUAACUGACGCUGAGGCACGAAAGCGUGGGGAGCGAACAGGAUUAGAUACCCUGGUAGCACAGAG
rnacentral:rRNA from 1 species